UAUGACAUGGGUGCAACCCUAAAAAAAGACAAAAAAAUAAUAAUAAUAUUUGUUCUGCUUAGUUCACAAGAGUAUGUGUAAAAAGCAUUUUAUUACAGAUAAAAUGCUUUCUGAAUAUAAAGGAUAUUUGUUUUCUAAUGAGUACUAAUUAUUACAGUUUCCAUGUAUUGAAGACCUACCAAUGCCAACCAUAUGUAAAAUACAGUUAAUAGUCAAAAUAAUAAAAAUGAAAAUUAACUAUUUAUUAUCCCCAUUUUAAAGGAGAGGAAAUUGAGGGUCAGUGAGAAACCGUCCAAGGGGUGGUAAAUGGCAUUGGCAAGAAAAGGGAAGACCUUUUCUUUCUAACAUAAAUUAUACCUUUCCUUUUGGUAAAAACAUCUUUUGCAGCAUGUGGAAUAUUUUGGGGCGGUGGGGGAAAAUGACUCAUUUAAAGAAUUUUGUUUUUCAUUUCUAGAGCUUGUAAAACUGAUUAGUCAUUACAUAGCAAAUCAUUUUUCUGUGUUAAAUCUUUGACUCACAUAUUCUAAUAGAAAGUAUCUAUCAUUUGAAUAAAAAGAUUCCCAGAUGCCUUCUUCUGGAUCUUCAGGAAGACACUCUCCUGACUAUAAAGCUGUGAGUUCUGGUACAGUAAUUUUUUAUAUUUCCACGUUCUUAUUGAUAUGUAGCCUUCUGCCAGUAACUGAAGUGGCGAUCUGUCCCCCUGCUGCUUCUGCUCACCGUCUGCCUGACAGCUAGCAUAGAAAAGAGCUAUUGGUUCUGCCACUCUUGUUCCCAGGAGUCCACAGCUAUGCCACCUAAUCUGAAUGUUGUGCUUCAGUAACUCCCUAAGAGGAUUCUUCUGCCCACUCAGUUUAUGUUUCCUAAGCACUGUGGCAGCUGCUUAGGAAGCCGGCUCUAAUCAGUUCUCUACACAGAGCCGCCCUCUCAACAGAAUUGUUCCAUGGCACGUAAAGAUUUGGUCAUAGCAGUCUCCUACCUUACUGAUGCUUAGGCCAUCACAAUGUUCAGAGAAACAUGAGUCACAGAUACGACUUAUAGAGCUAUUUGCAAAACCUUCCAUGAUCCAUAUUGGCCUUCCUGAAUACAUCUCAGCCAUCAGAAGGAGCCUCUGUAGACUCAGGAUAGAGCAACCCAGUAGUGAAGUGUUUGAGAAGGAAAACUGUGCCUUAACUAUUUUGUAAAAGUGACUAAAUCUUAUGUUCAGAAGAACUUUGUUUUGAUGUUAAGGUGAAAAUUCCAUUGUCCUUGUCAUUCAUUUCAGUGGCUCUCCAGAUACUUCUUCAUAAAAUUAUUGCCAUCAUUCUAAGCAUAAUUUGCUUUGGAACUCAGAGAUCAUCAUCCUGUUAGUCUUGAUUCUGUGAUGAUUAAUAGCAAAAGAAGUAACCAACCAGAUGUAGUAAUCCUAACACUGCAUUUUCAUUUGCAUUUUUCGUUCAAACGGGAUUUCUGACAAUUUUGCUUAUGAACAAAACUAAAACUCCCUAAGUGUAUGAAUAAGUACAAGUAUGUUUUAUUUCUAGUAUAGACAUAUAAUGGUUAAAAUGUGUGUGAUGGGGGACUUAGAAUAUGCAUCCAUAUUCACAUUUGGCUUUGAAUACCUUUUGAAUUAUACUAACUUGAUAUCAUUUCAAUAUUUCACAUACUCAAUGAAUUUAUUACAUUUAUAGUUGUACAAUGAUCAUCACAAUCCAGUUUUAUAGGAUUUCCAUCCCACAACCCCAGCACAUCCUCCCACCCCACCCCCCCCAAACUGUCUCCUUUGGAAACCAUAAGUUUUUCAAAGUCUGUGAGUCAGUAUCUGUUCUGCAAAGAAGUUCAGUCUGUCCUUUUUUUAGAUUCCACAUGUCAGUGAAAGCAUUUGAUGUUGGUGUCUCAUUGUAUGGCUGACUUCACUUAGCAUGAUAAUUUCUAGGUCCAUCCAGGUUGCUAAAAAUGCCAGUAUUUCUUUCCUUUUAAUGGCUGAAUAAUAUUCCAUUGUGUAUAUGUACCACCCCUUCUUGAUCCACUGUUCUGUCAAUGGACAUUUAGGUUGUUUCCAUGUCUUGGCUAUUGAAAAGAGUGCUGCAAUGAACACCAGAGUACAUGUGUUUUUGCAAGUCAUGGUUUUCUCUGGAUAGAUGCCCAGGAGUGGGAUUGCUGGAUCAAACGGUGGUUCUAUUUUUAGUUUUCUGAGGAAUCUCCAUCCUGUUUUGCACAGUGGUUGUACCAAUUUACAAUCCCCCUAACAGUGUAGCAGGGUUCCUUUUUCUCCACACCUUCUCCAGCACUUAUUGUUUAUAGACUUUUGGAUGAUGGCCAUUCUGGCUGGUGUAAGGUGGUACCUCAGAGUGGUUUUGAUUUGCAUUUCCCUAAAAAGGAGUGGUGUUGAACAUCUUUUCAUGUGCUUUUUUGGCCAUCCAUAUGUCUUCUUUGGAGAACUGUCUGUCUAGAUCUUCUGCCCAUUUUUUGAUGGGGUUGUUUGUUUUUUUGGUAUGGAGCAGUAGGAGGUGUUUAUAAAUUUUGGAGAUUAAUCCCUUGUCAGUGGAUUCAUUUGCAAAGAUUUUCUCCCAUUCUGUGGGUUGUCUUUUCGUUUUAUUUAGGGUUUCCUUUGCUGUGCAGAAACUUUUCAGUUUAAUUAGGUCCCAUUUGUUUAUUUUUGUUUUUACUGUCAUUACUCUAAGAGGUGGAUCUGAGAAGAUGUUGCUGUUGUUUAUGUCAGAGAGUGUUUGGCCUAUGAUUUCCUCUAGGAGUUUUAUAGUGUCUGGUCUUAUAUCUAGGUCUUUAAUCCAUUUUGAAUUUAUUUUUGUGUAUGGCGUUAGGGUGUGUUCUAAUUUCAUUCUUUUACAUGUGGCUGUCCAGUUUUCCCAGCACCACUUAUUGAAGGGUCUGUCUUUUCUCCAUUGUAUAUUCUUGCCUCCUUUUCAUCGACUAGUUGGCUGUAGGUGCGUGGGUUUAAUUCUGGGCUUUCUAUCCUGUUCCACUGAUCUAUAUUUCUGUCUUUGUGCCAGUACCACAUGGUUUUGAUGACUGUUGCUUUGUAGUGGAGUCUGAAGUCCGAGAGCCUGAUUCCUCCAGCUCCAUUUUUCUUUUUCAGGAUGUCUUUGGCUAUUCUGGGUCUUUUGCGCUUCCAAUGCUUUAUACUUUGAAAUCAAAUUUUUACAGUCUCCAGAAAUGUAUAUGACUUUAUCAUCAGUUUAUACAUUCUAACUAUAUGUGGAAUUUGAAAUGAAGACCUUUUUUAUGGACAGAUAGAAAUAGCAAAAUUCCUUAUUUCUAGGCUCAUUUUAAUAAUGUCCAAUUCUAGGUAAUUUUAAAGUGAGGUAAAUAUUAAUGCACUAGGAAUUUAAUAUCAUUCACUAGAAGAGAAAUAACAUGUGGGUACUGCUAUUAUUUGCAAAGUCUUAGGGAUGGAAAGUUGUAAAAAAAUACAGUAAAGGAAUAGAAAAUCUAUUUAGAGCAGAGUAAACCUUCUUAUUCUUUUUUCCAUGUCAAUUUGGAAGUUUACUCUAAAAGUCAUAAAGGGAGUUCCCUGGUGGCCUAGUGGUUAAGGAUCCAGUGCUGUCACUUCUGUGGCUCAGAUUGCUGCUGUGGUAUGGGUUUGAUCCCUGACCCAGGAACUUCCACAUGCCAUGGGCAUG
rnacentral:lncRNA from 1 species